ACGCUCGACACCUACGGGAGCAGCAGUGGGGAAUAUUGCACAAUGGGGGAAACCCUGAUGCUGCGACGCCGCGUGAGUGAAGAAGUAUUUCGGUAUGUAAAGCUCUAUCAGCAGGGAAGAAAAUGACGGUACCUGAGUAAGAAGCCCCGGCUAACUACGUGCUAGCAGCCGCGGUAAUCUGAGCGGGCUGGCAAGGC
rnacentral:rRNA from 1 species